GCACCAUCAUAAAAUGGGUGCCGGGAUUUCCACCCCGCUGACUAUACACGCGCACAACCGCGCCAGCGGUUUUUUU
rnacentral:sRNA from 1 species